GAUGAACGCUGGCGGCGUGCUUAACACAUGCAAGUCGAACGGAAAGGCCCAGCUUUCGUGGGGUGCUAGUGUCGAGAAGGUGUGUGAAACAUGAGUAUACUGCCCUCAACACUUUGGGAUAACUUCAGGACUCUGUGUCUUACAGCGGAUAGGCGUCCACGCCGCAUGGUGGGGUGUGGAGAGUUUUCGCGGUUGGGGAUGGACUCGCGGCUUAUCAGCUUGUUGGUGGGGUAGUGGCUUACCAAGGCCUUGACGGGUAGCCGGCCUGAGAGGGUGACCGGCCACAUUGGGACUGAGAUACGGCCCAGACUCCUACGGGAGGCAGCAGUGGGGAAUAUUGCACAAUGGGCGGAAGCCUGAUGCAGCAACGCCGCGUGCGGGAUGACGGCCUUCGGGUUGUAAACCGCUUUCGCCAGGGAAGAAGCGUAAGUGACGGUAAUGGGUAAAGAAGCACCGGCUAACUACGUG
rnacentral:rRNA from 1 species